rnacentral:rRNA from 1 species
CCUACGGGAGGCAGCAGUGAGGAAUAUUGGUCAAUGGACGAGAGUCUGAACCAGCCAAGUAGCGUGAAGGAUGACUGCCCUAUGGGUUGUAAACUUCUUUUAUAUGGGAAUAAAAUGUUCCACGUGUGGGAUUUUGUAUGUACCAUUUGAAUAAGGAUCGGCUAACUACGUGCCAGCAGCCGCGGUAAUACGGAGGAUCCGAGCGUUAUCCGGAUUUAUUGGGUUUAAAGGGCGCGUAGGUGGAUUGUUAAGUCAGUUGUGAAAGUUUGCGGCUCAACCGUAAAAUUGCAGUUGAAACUGGCAGUCUUGAGUACAGGAGAGGUGGGCGGAAUUCGUGGUGUAGCGGUGAAAUGCUUAGAUAUCACGAAGAACUCCGAUUGCGAAGGCAGUUCACUGGACUGCAACUGACACUGAGGCUCGAAAGUGUGGGUAUCAAACAGGAUUAGAUACCCUUGUAGUC